CUCAUUUUGAUGUUUUUGGAUAAUUCAAGUACAUCAUUUUCACCAAAUGAUAAUGGGCUUUUUUAAUUUUAAACAUUUUUUUGCCUUUAUUUUUGACAUGCACAUGCCGAAAUCUACACAUGCAUGGAAUACAAGCAAGGGAAGCCUCACAUAUCGAUUUUGUCCAUGAGAAACGUCAUAUGUUCGUUUCUCUGGAGACCCCCCCCCCCCUAGAAACGUCACACAUAUUUUGUUCUUAUAGUACACAUAAGAUAAUUUUUACUACUUUCUACGGUCGGC
rnacentral:lncRNA from 1 species